rnacentral:tRNA from 1 species
GAGAGUAUAGCUCAGUGGUAGAUUGCGUGCCUAGCAAGCACAAGGUCCUGGGUUCAAUUCCCAGUACCUCCA